rnacentral:rRNA from 1 species
AGUCCCUACGGGACGCAGCAGUGGGGAAUAUUGGACAAUGGGGGGAACCCUGAUGCAGCGACGCCGCGUGAGUGAAGAAGUAUUUCGGUAUGUAAAGCUCUAUCAGCAGGGAGGAAGAAGGACGGUACCUGAGUAAGAAGCCCCGGCUAACUACGUGCCAGCAGCCGCGGUAUUACGUAGGGGGCAAGCGUUAUCCGGAUUUACUGGGUGUAAAGGGAGCGUAGACGGCGAAGAAGGUCUGAAGUGAAAGCCGGCGGCUCAACCGCGGAAUGGCUUUGGAAACUUUUUUGCUGGAGUACCGGAUG